UAUUUCCAAUGUGUCUGAUGAAGUUGA
rnacentral:sRNA from 1 species